GUGGGGAAUAUUGGACAAUGGGCGCAAGCCUGAUCCAGCAAUGCCGCGUGUGUGAAGAAGGCCUGCGGGUUGUAAAGCACUUUCAGUAGGGAAGAAAAGCUAACGGUUAAUACCCGUGAGUCUUGACGUAACCUACAGAAGAAGCACCGGCUAACCCCGUGCCAGCAGCCGCGGUAAUACGGAGGGUGCGAGCGUUAAUCGGAAUUACUGGGCGUAAAGCGCGCGUAGGCGGUUUUGUAAGUCGGAUGUGAAAGCCCAGGGCUUAACCUUGGAACUGCAUUCGAUACUGCUUGACUAGAGUAUGGUAGAGGGAAGUGGAAUUUCCGGUGUAGCGGUGAAAUGCGUAGAUAUCGGAAGGAACACCAGUGGCGAAGGCGACUUCCUGGGCCAAUACUGACGCUGAGGUGCGAAAGCGUGGGGAGCAA
rnacentral:rRNA from 1 species